rnacentral:rRNA from 1 species
CUCGUAGGCGGUUUGUCACGUCUGCUGUGAAAACUGGAGGCUCAACCUCCAGCCUGCAGUGGGUACGGGCAGACUAGAGUGCGGUAGGGGAGAUUGGAAUUCCUGGUGUAGCGGUGGAAUGCGCAGAUAUCAGGAGGAACACCGAUGGCGAAGGCAGAUCUCUGGGCCGUAACUGACGCUGAGGAGCGAAAGCAUGGGGAGCGAACA